AUAAUUCAGCGGCAACGCAGCUGGGGCCUGGCACACAGGGUCCCUGUGAUGAGGAGGGGCUGCCCCUGCCAGAAUGCACCAGAGGCUGCCACCAGGGAGAGAGUUACAAGGACCACUUCUGUGGACCUGGCAGGUCCUAGGGCCCCCUUUAAAACUGUGCCUGGGGAGAGUCCCUGGCGCUGCUCCGGAGGAUCAUGGAGCCCGACUCUACUCAUAGGGGAGACCACACGGCUUCUGCGGGGCAAGACAGCUGAGGAGCAUGUCAGGACAGUGCCAUCUGCCACCGAGGCAGCUCCAGAGAGUGGGACAGCUGUGAGAGGCGGGACCUGUCCAGGCUCCCUGACGGGCACUCACAGCCCCCUUCACCCUCAGCGAGGCACUUGCCCCAAUGAAAACUGAGCAGUUGGACAAUCUGAUGUCUUGGAGGGUCCAGAGUCUCACUCUGUUGCCCAGGCUGGAGUGCGAUGGCAUGAUCUCGGCUCCCUGCAAUCUCCACCUCCCAGGUUCAAGCAAUUCUCCUACCUCAGCCUCCUGAGUAGCUGGGAUCACAGGCACACACCACCAUGCCCAGCUAAUUUUUGUAUUUUUAGUAGAGACGGGGUUUCACCAUGUUGGCCAGGCUGGUCUCCAACUCCUGACCUCAAGUGAUCAGCCUGCCUCGGGCUCCUAAAGUGCUGGGAUUACAGGCGUGAGCCACCGCGCCCGGCCAUAGGGCAUCCUCUUAAUUAGAGUGUGAGGCCUGCGGAUAUGGGCUGGGGAAUAAGUUGAUGCUGACAGAAAAUAACUUAAAACAUUGAAAGGAACAGGAAGUAAACAGAAGCAAAUAUUUACCGAAUCCCUGGUGAGAAGGAACUUUCCAAGAAUAAAGGGAAGGAUGAGUUCACUUUGACUGUGUGGAAGCUAAAUUCUCAGGUGGCUCAAAGGAAAACAUCAAGCUAAAAGACAAGCAAUGAGGCGGGUAAAUUUUUGACACUAACAUGACAAAAAAUUAAUAGCAUUAACACGGCAGGAACUUAUCUGAAGCAGCAACACCAAGGGCAAUGUGAGCGAACUGCAGACAAGGCAACCCGGACGCCAUGGGGACGCGCCACAGAGCAGGCUGCCUUGUCCCCACUCUGCCUACGUGUGAGACCCACCAGACUCACAGUGAACACAUCCCAGCCCCUCCGGCCGGGCACCACGGAAGGCCCUCCCUCCUCCACUGAGGGCAGGGAUCACAGGGCCAGGUUUUUGUCAUCGGACAAGGGGUGUCCCAAGUCAUGAGAUGCUUAACCCAUGAAUGCCCCCUCUUGGAGUCUAUGCUAAUUAAACACUUAGAGGGGCGGACUUCACUCUGCCAGCUCAGAUAAUGACCACAGCAUAUUUAUAACUGCAAAAAGGUGGAAACAGCUACACUAUCCAACAGUGGGGAAAUGUUUAAGUCAAUGCUGGGAGAGUAACACCAUGGACCAGCCCCGAAGAGACAUCUGUGGUGAGUGAAAUGCACGCCAUACAAGCCCAGAGAGACUGUGAACUUGGAAGAAAGAAUAGGUGCACACAAUAAGACUGGGAGGAAAUGAACAAACUAUCAUUGGCCAUGAGGUUCUCCUUUACUUACAAUAAGUAUAUGCAACACAGACAUGAGAAAGGCAUUCCUGGAGUGUGAAGCUCAGGACAAGAGGAUGCGGGGUGUCCUGAGCAAACAAUAAUGCCAGCACCUUCUGCAAGGAGCUCUGCUGGGCCACCUCUUGGGCAACAAACUAUCCUGGCACAUCUUGCAGACAAGGAAACAAGCUUCAGGAGGCAAUGGUGCCUCUUGAAGGGCAGGGCACACAGCCACAGGGCCACCUUCUGCAUGGCUCCCACCGCAGCUGAGUCUCCAAGGAAGCUGGGUUUUUACAGGGGCAGGUCCUCAAGGUGGAUACCCCUUUGCUAAAGGCUCUGCCCCAGCAACCCGCAAGCAGCCACUUGCCCUGGGCUCCAGGUGGCUGCCCUCCCCUUGCUGUCCUCUGGACUGUUUAGUAUGCAGAAGGACCAGCCCUGCAAGGCCACCAUAAAUCCUGCCCCUGUCCUACAGCAGAUCAAUUGCCAAUCGGCUCCAAAUCCCCUAGAUGUCUCAGCAGCUUGGCCCAGCUGUAGGAGCCAUGGCCAUGGUUGGCUCUAGAUGCUGCUGGCUAUAUAUAUUGAACUUGAAGCAUCAGAUUACAUGUUUGUUCAAUAGCAAUAAACUCCCAAAGUUUUAUGGGGUCAU
rnacentral:antisense_RNA from 1 species